rnacentral:lncRNA from 1 species
AACGACAACGACAACGACAACGACAACGACAACGACAACGACAACGACAACAACAACAACAACAACAACAACAACAACCACCACCACCACAACAACAACGACAACCAUAAUAACAACAACAACCACGACCACAACCACGACCACCACAACCACCACAACCACAACCACAACCACGACCACGACAACGACAACGACAACGACAAUGACAACGACAACGACAACGACAACGACAACGACAACGACAACGACAACGACAACAACAACAACAACAACAACAACAACAACAACAACAACCACAACAACCAC